UACAGAGGUCCCAAGCGUUGUUCGGAUUCACUGGGCGUACAGGGUGCGUAGGCGGUCGGGUAAGUCUGACGUGAAAUCUUCAAGCUUAACUUGGAAACUGCGUCGGAUACUAUUCGGCUGGAGGAAUGGAGGGGAGACUGGAAUACUUGGUGUAGCAGUGAAAUGCGUAGAUAUCAAGUGGAACACCAGUGGCGAAGGCGAGUCUCUGGACAUUUCCUGACGCUGAGGCACGAAAGCCAGGGGAGCAAACGGG
rnacentral:rRNA from 1 species